CACCCACAUCACAUUGAAAGCACAGUUCUCAUAUGAUCACCAAAGUUAAGCAACAUUAAGCCUGGUCAGUACCUAGAUGGCUGACCUCUUGAGAAUACCAGAUGCUGUAUG